rnacentral:rRNA from 1 species
UACGUAGGGGGGCAAGCGUUGUCCGGAUUUACUGGGCGUAAAGCGCGUGUAGGCGGCUACGCAGGUCCGUUGUGAAAACUGGAGGCUCAACCUCCAGACGUCGACGGAAACCGUGUGGCUAGAGUCCGGAAGAGGAGAGUGGAAUUCCUGGUGUAGCGGUGAAAUGCGCAGAUAUCGGGGAGGAACACCAGUAGCGAAGGCGGCUCGCUGGGCCAUUCCUGACGCUGAGACGCGAAAGCUAGGGGGAGCGAACAGG